GACGAACCGAGCGAACGUUAUUCGGAAUCACUGGGCUUAAAGGGCGCGUAGGCGGGUUUGCAAGUCCGUGGUGAAAUCCUCCAGCUCAACUGGAGAACUGCCGCGGAUACUGUGAGUCUCGAGGGAGGUAGGGGCGUGCGGAACAGAUGGUGGAGCGGUGAAAUGCGUAGAUAUCGGGAGGAACGCCAGUGGCGAAGGCGGUCAUCUGGGCCGUCCCUGACGCUGAGACGCGAAAGCUGGGGGAGCAAACGGGAUUAGAA
rnacentral:rRNA from 1 species